rnacentral:lncRNA from 1 species
CAACUUUUUGCCUGGUGGAGGGACAUUCUGAACCAGAGAGCAGGAAAUAGGAUCUCAUGCUUGACAAAGUUGACUUGCUAACUUUGGGUGGACAGAGAUCAAAGUUGAGGGAGAUUGAGGCAGCUGGAAGUUUGCAGGGAAGAAUUCCAAAGAGAAGGGUGCUGUAUAGAUUUAAAAGCUCCAUAAGUUUGUACAGAUGUCUUUCUGAAACUUUGCUGAACACUGAGAUGUGCAUUCACAGGGUGAAACACCACCAGAAGGCAAGGCAAAGAAUGACCAAGGUAAUGUAAAACAAAUAAUUCUCAGAGGGGUUGGGAUGUUUGAGAUCCAGCCAGCCAUAGGGGAAAGUCCUCCUUGAUCAUCAGGAGCACUCCUUAGGAACCUGGAAAGGUCGUGCCC